rnacentral:rRNA from 1 species
GAUGAACGCUGGCGGCGUGCCUAAUACAUGCAAGUCGAGCGAACAGACGAGGAGCUUGCUCCUCUGACGUUAGCGGCGGACGGGUGAGUAACACGUGGAUAACCUACCUAUGAGACUGGGAUAACUUCGGGAAACCGGAGCUAAUACCGGAUAAUAUAUUGAACCGCAUGGUUCAAUAGUGAAAGACGGUUUUGCUGUCACUUAUAGAUGGAUCCGCGCCGCAUUAGCUAGUUGGUAAGGUAACGGCUUACCAAGGCAACGAUGCGUAGCCGACCUGGGAGGGGGAUCGGCCACACUGGAACUGAGACACGGUCCAGACUCCUACGGGAGGCAGCAGUAGGGAAUCUUCCGCAAUGGGCGAAAGCCUGACGGAGCAACGCCGCGUGAGUGAUGAAGGUCUUCGGAUCGUAAAACUCUGUUAUUAGGGAAGAACAAAUGUGUAAGUAACUAUGCACGUCUUGACGGUACCUAAUCAGAAAGCCACGGCUAACUACGUG